UUUAUGAGUGAGGUUUUUGGUUGUGAUCUCUGCCUUCUUUAAGAAUAUCAAUCUCCUUUUUUAACGAGGUAUGUCAUUUAUUCAAGCAGAGUUUUUCAGCCCUAUAUAUUUGAUCGGAACUUGUUGAUCUUAUGAUUCUCGAUGACUGAUUAGAUCAAGACCUAGAAAAAUCACUCAAUGCUUUUAAGUUCAGCGGGAAAUGUUGAUCGGAUAGCCGAAUUAGUGAUAUUUGUGAAUCAAAAGAGUAGUUUUAUUUGGGAGAAAUAUUAUGCUUUUGUGCUCUUAUCUAAUAAAGGGUUAUAAAUUUUCAAAUUCUUAUUGGAUUUUAUAAAUUAUAGUAUCUACUAUGUUUUUCCCCUUUUGAAAGGUCCAAUGGCAAGGAGAAGCUUUUCCUUUAAUUCGAUUGACUAGACUAUUGUGAUUGUUAAUGUACCACAACUUGUUGGAAAAGUGAGACCUGUAACAGGAGUACUAUAAUGCCCAUGUAUCGUGCACCAUAAGAGGCUAUUGUUUCAUGGAUAUUCAUUGUUGGUCUGAGACAAGUAUUUGUGGUCUCGAUUUUUUUCCCUACUUUAGUUUUCAAUUCAAAAUCAGUUUCUUUUUUACUGUCAGUUUGAAAAGUAUGUUUGUUGUUAGUCUAUCUUAGUCAGAGAUUCUAAUUAUGAUAAAAUUUGUAUUUGUCUACUGUGAGUUUUUCCCAUAUUGUUAUUAGUGACUCAUUUGUGUUUUCCCUCCUCCAGCAUCACUUUCUUGGUUAUAAGUAGGAAAGUUGCUGUCUUAGGGAAAAACUUCCUUAAUUGGAUAUAUGGCGUGUUUUGGAUGCUGCGGAGAAGAAGACUUUCACCAAGCUACUGAUACGGGAAGACCUUUCACUGCACACCAUGCGACAGGAACAUGCUUAAGAUGAACUUCUUCAACAAUUCCAGCAAUCAACCAAGCGGCUCUAUGGUGAUUUAAGAACCCGCAAAACAAGACUUUCUGAACGAGGGACGAAACUACAAAAGAAAUACAAAGUGAAAGUGUACAAGCAUUAGAAAGAAUCUCUCAUUUGAAUCAGAUGUAAAAGUUUUAAAGAAACUAGUGCGAGAGAAAACUUAAACAUGACACUAUGUAACUGCAAAAUAUUAACUUUUGUUGGUUUGUAUUUGUUGGAUAUUUUGGAUCUCUAGUUUGUUCAAUUGUUAUAUGCAAAUUUGAAGUUUCU